GAACGCUGGCGGCAGGCCUAACACAUGCAAGUCGAGCGGUAGCACAGGGAGCUUGCUCCUGGGUGACGAGCGGCGGACGGGUGAGUAAUGUCUGGGAAACUGCCUGAUGGAGGGGGAUAACUACUGGAAACGGUAGCUAAUACCGCAUAACGUCUUCGGACCAAAGAGGGGGACCUUCGGGCCUCUUGCCAUCAGAUGUGCCCAGAUGGGAUUAGCUAGUAGGUGAGGUAAUGGCUCACCUAGGCGACGAUCCCUAGCUGGUCUGAGAGGAUGACCAGCCACACUGGAACUGAGACACGGUCCAGACUCCUACGGGAGGCAGCAGUGGGGAAUAUUGCACAAUGGGCGCAAGCCUGAUGCAGCCAUGCCGCGUGUAUGAAGAAGGCCUUCGGGUUGUAAAGUACUUUCAGCGAGGAGGAAGGCAUUGUGGUUAAUAACCGCAGUGAUUGACGUUACUCGCAGAAGAAGCACCGGCUAACUCCGUGCCAGCAGCCGCGGUAAUACGGAGGGUGCAAGCGUUAAUCGGAAUUACUGGGCGUAAAGCGCACGCAGGCGGUCUGUCAAGUCGGAUGUGAAAUCCCCGGGCUCAACCUGGGAACUGCAUUCGAAACUGGCAGGCUAGAGUCUUGUAGAGGGGGGUAGAAUUCCAGGUGUAGCGGUGAAAUGCGUAGAGAUCUGGAGGAAUACCGGUGGCGAAGGCGGCCCCCUGGACAAAGACUGAC
rnacentral:rRNA from 1 species